rnacentral:rRNA from 1 species
GACGAACCGUGCGAACGUUAUUCGGAAUCACUGGGCUUAAAGCGCGUGUAGGCGGGACGGCACGUCGGUCGCUGAAAGCCCCCGGCUCAACCGGGGAACGGGCGCCGAUACGACCGCCCUGGAGGAACGUAGGGGGACCUGGAACUUCCGGUGGAGCGGUGAAAUGCGUUGAGAUCGGAAGGAACGCCCGUGGCGAAAGCGAGGUCCUGGACGUUUUACUGACGCUGAGACGGCGAAAAGCCAGGGGAGCGAACGGG